AUCGCUUCUCGGCCUAAUGGCUAAGAUCAAGUGUCGUAUCUGUUCUUAUGUCGGCUUCGGACCAUCUCAUAAUUGGUUACGGUGUUGUUAGAAAGCAGAAGCAGCACAAGUUCGAAACCGUGACAGUCGAUCGAGGUUCUUCGCGUAGUCGCUUUUUCAGUGUCUCCUUCUACGUCCAGAAAUCUCAAGGCGAUCUGUC